GUCCCUUGACGGCCUAAUUUGAAGACCUCUUCUUUCCUUUCCUCCUCAAACAGCUGACACUGAUGAAACAGACCUAGCCACACACACCGCCUCUGAAAGGGACCAUCAGUUUGAAAGGCACCAUGAGGAACAUAACACAUCCAAGGUGUCAUUGGCUUCACACGGAAUCUGCUUUGGAUGAAAAUUUCCUUUAGGAUCUG
rnacentral:lncRNA from 1 species